rnacentral:rRNA from 1 species
AUGAAGACGAUGAAGAGAUGCAUUGUUCCUAGCAUCCUGCUGAUGCUUUCACUCGAGGCCGCCCUCCUCGUCGCCGCCGGCCGCCCCACCACGGGCGCCGGCGCCGACGAUGUGGGCACCAUUCUCCUGCCGAGCGAGGGCAAAGGCCAAGCAGAAAUGGUGGCGAGCAGGCCGUGGAAGUGCUGCGACCGGGCCUUUUGCACAGAGUCGAACCCGAUGGUGUACAAGUGUGGUGACGAGGUCGAUCAGUGCGCGUCCACCUGCCAGGCCUGCGUGCCGUCCACGCUCAACCCGUCUCGCCACGUCUGCCAAGACCUGCACACCGGCGACCCCGGGCCCGAGUGCAGCGACGACGGCGGCCUCAACGUCGGCAUCGCGAAAGCCGAAGGUGCUAGUAAAGAUUACCCGGUGACUUUGGCGGCAGCGAAGAAGAAGGGGGAAGAGGAAGAGAGGCCAUGGAAAUGCUGCGACUUUGCUCUGUGCACCAGGUCAUUCCCACCGCUGUGCCGCUGCAUGGACAAGGUCGAGCAGUGUGCUGCGACCUGCGAGAAAUGCGAGCCGGCGACGUCGGACUCAUCCCGCCGCGUCUGCAACGACUGGUAG